GGCUGGCGGGCUCUCCACGAAGCCGCUCUCCCCGCGGUACCCGGGACCCUCGGCGGCGUCCGCUCCGGCCCGCCGGGCUCAGCGAAAGGCGCACGCGGACUCCCGCUCCGGGAUGGAUGGAGAGCGAAGGAGGACGCCCACUGGCGCCCCCCCGCCUUGCUCGGAGACCCCCUCCAAGGAGGCGACCCUACCCACGUCCGCGUUCCCUGCCGACCACUGACAAAAGAAACCUCGGCCAAACCCUUGGAGUGGAGGGGCGUGUUGCGUGGUGUUUAGUUUAAAAUCGUAGCUUCCUAAGCUACUUCUCCGUCCAGGCUUGGCGCUUCGUUACUCCCGUGAUCCUCGGGAAUCGCGAACGUGUAGAGAGGUCAAGCGUCCGAUGGGAAUGCAACGUGUCACGACGUGUUUUAAAAAAAAAAAAAAUUUUUUUUUUUUUUUAGGUUUUAUUGUAAGUUCUUUCGGGAAACUUUUUUUUUUUUCCAAAGAGGCAGACGAUCCAGUAAUCUUUUGGGGACGUUGCCAUGGUAAAAGAUAGACUGGGUGGAAAGCGAACCCGACUGACACCUGCAGGAGGUGAGACACUGAGCUUGCCCGCGUUCUAGGCGGGCGGGUACCUCCAGGGGCCCGUCUCUUCCCUCGCGGUCCUAAACAACCUGUUCAGAGCCUGAGGCAUAUCUUUGCCUCUGAUGGGAAUCUUGGCUGCAGACCACCACAUCUCUGCUGAGUUAUUUCCCAGCCUGCCUCCACUGGCAGUCAGCAAGUUUGGCUGGUGCUACUAGAUACCGCGUACAGUAUGCUCAGUAACUCCCUAACAUAUGCUUUAGUAUUAAUUGCUUGUCGCUUAAAACACACACACACACACACACAUUUUCACUCUCUAACCAGUAGAGUACUCUCCAGUGAGUCAUGACAACUGAAUGCUUCAAGGUCCCCCCACCAACAGACUGCUUAUCCGCAUUGAAACUCCUCCCUUCCAGGACCUGCACAGGUGUUCCAGCUUCUUCCGCCCCAACCUUCCUGUUUGCCUAGUUCUGCUCCCCGUUAAAGUCCAGGCAAACAGCCAGAGAGCUCUCCAGGCAGUCUAACCACCACUCACCAAAUUCUUUGCUGCCUUUUCCUGAGAGCUAUUCCAGUGCUGAGCUGUGACUUACCGAAGCGCUGCCUUAGAAGUUAAGAAAGACCUCAGGACCAUAAUUCAAACCAAAAUGACACCUUUAAGAGGCAGAGGGCAGGUGAAUCUCUGAGUUCAAGGGCACCCUGGUCUACAUGUGGAGUUCCAGGGCAGCCAGGGGUACAUAGACCGUGUCUCAAACAAAACUAAAAUAAGCUAUUAGUCAUAUUAAGGCUAUACUGUCUACGUAAUUCCCCAAUAAAGCAUAAAGUUUUGUCUCCAA